UCCCUGGUAGUAUAUCGGUUAGUACACGCGCCUGUCAUAUGUCCAGGUUCGAUAUAUCCCCGCGCGAAAGCUGGGUUCGACUCCCAGCCAGGGAG